CGGCCUACUAAUCCCGCCAUUAAAUCACAUCGGAGAAUUCAGGGCAUUACAGUUACCGCUAAGGCUCGGGGCAGGAUCCUGCUCGAGGGUCGCUGGUGCUUGGACCAGAGGUAAGGGGAAAGGGAAGCUGGACCAGUCAUGAGUUGAAGAGCUUCUGUGGCGAUGUGUACAUAUGCAGCUGCUCAAUCACCACGACCGGGGUUUCUCAGAGGAACUAGGGUCAAACCCUAUUUUGCCGGUUAGGUCGGCUGUUUGUAACUUUUGAGUUGUACUUACCCUUUUGGAAUUGUAAACAACUUUGUAAAUAUUUAUUUUGGGAUCCCAUGUACGAACUUAACGUUUUAAUAAAAUGACUAUUCCCUUCA